ACGGCAAGGACCCAAGGCUCCAGAUUCCAGAGAACACUUUAGUAAGAUUAUCCUUGAACACGAGUCUUUCACCUCUUUUGGGAGCCAUUCUACAUGAACAUUCUCCAUGUACUUCACAUUGUCCUCAAUGGACAGCUGUGCCGUCAGAGAGAACCAUUUGCUCUGGGAUAAGUUAAUUUUAUGUAUGCAAAAGGAAGGUAUCCUUGGAGGAUUCAUCAAGUGAUGCCUGCUCUGUGACCCAGAAUGGACCCAUCAAGAGAUGCCAAAGACAGUGAUUUUAGCUGCCACCAUCCAUGGGGAUUCAUCGAGUGGCUUCUGCUCCUUAGCUACGAAGUGACCAAGGAAGAGGUGCCAACGGCAGCAUGUCAGCUGCCCCAAAUCAUAUAGGCUUCAGCGUGUGGCUCCUGAAGGGAACCAAAAGAGGUGCCAAUUGACACACAGCAAGAGGUGCCAAUGGCAGUUUGUUUAGCUGCCCCCACUCAUAGGGGCAGCAUCAAGUGGCUCCUGCUCCAUGGCCAAGCAGGAACCAAGCAAAAGGCAGCGAUGGCAGCG